CUGCUGCUGGGUUCUGAGUGUUUGUCCCUCACAUAAGAUUCCAGAACACUGCUACUGGGUUCUCAGUGUUUGUCCCUCACAUAGGAUUCCAGAACUCUGCUACGAGUUUCUGAAUGUUUGUCCAACACAUAGGAUUCCAGAACACAGCAACGAGGGUCUAAAUGUUUGUCCCUCACAUAGGACUACAGAACACUGCUAAGAA
rnacentral:lncRNA from 1 species